rnacentral:snoRNA from 1 species
CAACCCAUUAUAGUACCUUUCAUUCGCAUCACCAUGAAUGAGCGGCUAUGCUAAUGGGGGAGAACAAACACUGUCAUGGUUCUGAAGGUGUGGCUGCCUAACUGUGCGCCCCACUUAAUUAAUUGACAGAAUAUGUUAUU